GACGAACGCUGGCGGCGUGCUUAACACAUGCGAGUCGAACGGAAAGGCCCUGCUUUUGUGGGGUGCUCGAGUGGCGAACGGGUGAGUAACACGUGAGUAACCUGCCCUUGACUUUGGGAUAACUUCAGGAAACUGGGGCUAAUACCGGAUAGGAGCUCCUGCUGCAUGGUGGGGGUUGGAAAGUUUCGGCGGUUGGGGAUGGACUCGCGGCUUAUCAGCUUGUUGGUGGGGUAGUGGCUUACCAAGGCUUUGACGGGUAGCCGGACUGAGAGGGUGACCGGCCACAUUGGGACUGAGAUACGGCCCAGACUCCUACGGGAGGCAGCAGUGGGGAAUAUUGCACAAUGGGCGGAAGCCUGAUGCAGCAACGCCGCGUGCGGGAUGACGGCCUUCGGGUUGUAAACCGCUUUCGCCUGUGACGAAGCGUGAGUGACGGUAAUGGGUAAAGAAGCACCGGCUAACUACGU
rnacentral:rRNA from 1 species